GGUUAAGCGACUAAGCGUACACGGUGGAUGCCCUGGCAGUCAGAGGCGAUGAAGGACGUGCUAAUCUGCGAUAAGCGUCGGUAAGGUGAUAUGAACCGUUAUAACCGGCGAUUUCCGAAUGGGGAAACCCAGUGUGAUUCGUCACACUAUCAUUAACUGAAUCCAUAGGUUAAUGAGGCGAACCGGGGGAACUGAAACAUCUAAGUACCCCGAGGAAAAGAAAUCAACCGAGAUUCCCCCAGUAGCGGCGAGCGAACGGGGAGCAGCCCAGAGCCUGAAUCAGUGUGUGUGUUAGUGGAAGCGUCUGGAAAGGCGCGCGAUACAGGGUGACAGCCCCGUACACAAAAAUGCACAUGCUGUGAGCUCGAUGAGUAGGGCGGGACACGUGGUAUCCUGUCUGAAUAUGGGGGGACCAUCCUCCAAGGCUAAAUACUCCUGACUGACCGAUAGUGAACCAGUACCGUGAGGGAAAGGCGAAAAGAACCCCGGCGAGGGGAGUGAAAAAGAACCUGAAACCGUGUACGUACAAGCAGUGGGAGCACGCUUAGGCGUGUGACUGCGUACCUUUUGUAUAAUGGGUCAGCGACUUAUAUUCUGUAGCAAGGUUAACCGAAUAGGGGAGCCGAAGGGAAACCGAGUCUUAACUGGGCGUUAAGUUGCAGGGUAUAGACCCGAAACCCGGUGAUCUAGCCAUGGGCAGGUUGAAGGUUGGGUAACACUAACUGGAGGACCGAACCGACUAAUGUUGAAAAAUUAGCGGAUGACUUGUGGCUGGGGGUGAAAGGCCAAUCAAACCGGGAGAUAGCUGGUUCUCCCCGAAAGCUAUUUAGGUAGCGCCUCGUGAAUUCAUCUCCGGGGGUAGAGCACUGUUUCGGCAAGGGGGUCAUCCCGACUUACCAACCCGAUGCAAACUGCGAAUACCGGAGAAUGUUAUCACGGGAGACACACGGCGGGUGCUAACGUCCGUCGUGAAGAGGGAAACAACCCAGACCGCCAGCUAAGGUCCCAAAGUCAUGGUUAAGUGGGAAACGAUGUGGGAAGGCCCAGACAGCCAGGAUGUUGGCUUAGAAGCAGCCAUCAUUUAAAGAAAGCGUAAUAGCUCACUGGUCGAGUCGGCCUGCGCGGAAGAUGUAACGGGGCUAAACCAUGCACCGAAGCUGCGGCAGCGACACUAUGUGUUGUUGGGUAGGGGAGCGUUCUGUAAGCCUGUGAAGGUGUACUGUGAGGUAUGCUGGAGGUAUCAGAAGUGCGAAUGCUGACAUAAGUAACGAUAAAGCGGGUGAAAAGCCCGCUCGCCGGAAGACCAAGGGUUCCUGUCCAACGUUAAUCGGGGCAGGGUGAGUCGACCCCUAAGGCGAGGCCGAAAGGCGUAGUCGAUGGGAAACAGGUUAAUAUUCCUGUACUUGGUGUUACUGCGAAGGGGGGACGGAGAAGGCUAUGUUGGCCGGGCGACGGUUGUCCCGGUUUAAGCGUGUAGGCUGGUUUUCCAGGCAAAUCCGGAAAACUAAGGCUGAGGCGUGAUGACGAGGCACUACGGUGCUGAAGCAACAAAUGCCCUGCUUCCAGGAAAAGCCUCUAAGCAUCAGGUAACAUCAAAUCGUACCCCAAACCGACACAGGUGGUCAGGUAGAGAAUACCAAGGCGCUUGAGAGAACUCGGGUGAAGGAACUAGGCAAAAUGGUGCCGUAACUUCGGGAGAAGGCACGCUGAUAUGUAGGUGAAGUCCCUCGCGGAUGGAGCUGAAAUCAGUCGAAGAUACCAGCUGGCUGCAACUGUUUAUUAAAAACACAGCACUGUGCAAACACGAAAGUGGACGUAUACGGUGUGACGCCUGCCCGGUGCCGGAAGGUUAAUUGAUGGGGUUAGCGCAAGCGAAGCUCUUGAUCGAAGCCCCGGUAAACGGCGGCCGUAACUAUAACGGUCCUAAGGUAGCGAAAUUCCUUGUCGGGUAAGUUCCGACCUGCACGAAUGGCGUAAUGAUGGCCAGGCUGUCUCCACCCGAGACUCAGUGAAAUUGAACUCGCUGUGAAGAUGCAGUGUACCCGCGGCAAGACGGAAAGACCCCGUGAACCUUUACUAUAGCUUGACACUGAACAUUGAGCCUUGAUGUGUAGGAUAGGUGGGAGGCUUUGAAGUGUGGACGCCAGUCUGCAUGGAGCCGACCUUGAAAUACCACCCUUUAAUGUUUGAUGUUCUAACGUUGACCCGUAAUCCGGGUUGCGGACAGUGUCUGGUGGGUAGUUUGACUGGGGCGGUCUCCUCCUAAAGAGUAACGGAGGAGCACGAAGGUUGGCUAAUCCUGGUCGGACAUCAGGAGGUUAGUGCAAUGGCAUAAGCCAGCUUGACUGCGAGCGUGACGGCGCGAGCAGGUGCGAAAGCAGGUCAUAGUGAUCCGGUGGUUCUGAAUGGAAGGGCCAUCGCUCAACGGAUAAAAGGUACUCCGGGGAUAACAGGCUGAUACCGCCCAAGAGUUCAUAUCGACGGCGGUGUUUGGCACCUCGAUGUCGGCUCAUCACAUCCUGGGGCUGAAGUAGGUCCCAAGGGUAUGGCUGUUCGCCAUUUAAAGUGGUACGCGAGCUGGGUUUAGAACGUCGUGAGACAGUUCGGUCCCUAUCUGCCGUGGGCGCUGGAGAACUGAGGGGGGCUGCUCCUAGUACGAGAGGACCGGAGUGGACGCAUCACUGGUGUUCGGGUUGUCAUGCCAAUGGCACUGCCCGGUAGCUAAAUGCGGAAGAGAUAAGUGCUGAAAGCAUCUAAGCACGAAACUUGCCCCGAGAUGAGUUCUCCCUGACUCCUUGAGAGUCCUGAAGGAACGUUGAAGACGACGACGUUGAUAGGCCGGGUGUGUAAGCGCAGCGAUGCGUUGAGCUAACCGGUACUAAUGAACCGUGAGGCUUAACCUU
rnacentral:rRNA from 1 species